AUUUUUAGUCACUCAUCCAUACAGGGACUUUUCUUUCUGUAGUACAUAUGCCAGAACUGCCCAGCUUUGUUGCUUUCCAAUGGGGAUGUUUGUGCUUUUUAGCAUGCUUGUCCUCAUCAAAAGUAUCCCAGACCCAGCAAGAUGCCAGGUCCUGCAGGGCAGAAUAUGAUCUGAGACUUCAGAGAGAUGUGGUUGAAGAUGCACAUUCAGGGAUGGGAACUGCAGAGCAUCUGUCUGUUGAGGAAGCUGUGGCUGAAGGAGAGUGGGUGAAGUCUCCAAGUGGCUCUGCUCUCCUGCUGACGCUGCAGAUGGGUGUCUGAGCUGUCCCAAGUGACCAACCUGGUGCAGCUGCAUGCACUGCCCUCUGCACUGCCCAUGUACUGUACCCAAACCUUACCACCAGCUGUACUGCACAGCCAUGCAGUUCCUCUGUACUCAGAGCUUUAUUUAGGGGCUUCAAAUAACCUUUCAUCACCAUUUCACACCAGUCUUAAACUCACAGGUUUGUUUCUCUGCCUUGAUUACAUUUACUUUUACUGUGUAUUUCAGCUAAGAAUGCUCCAGAGGGGUGUGCCAACUACUACUAUGUCACAAGAAUGAUUUUAUUAAGAAAAUGCCAAUACUACCUCAUAGCAUUUUCCACUACUAUUGUUUGGGUUGCACCAGAGGCUAAAAUGUGGCUUCCUUUAAUAACACAUUUGCAUAAGUUGAUCUGAAAGAUCCCCAUGUGAUGACAUUACUCCAGGGUUGGCCUGUCAUCUCAAAAAAGCCCGAGGUGCUGGUCCCAGAGAUCAAACUCAAGAAUUAACUAGUCUUCAUAAAACGGGAACAUCUCUACAAGCAGUAAAACAAAUGAUUAUCAUUUCUUUUUGGCGAUGGUCUAUGCCAAGCUAGAGAAAAACAGAGCUUUCAAACACUGACAAUCUGGUAUAUUGAAGUAUGACCAUUAUUUUUUAUUUUCCACAUUUUUGGUCCAAAGACAGUUCUGAGUAAUUGAUUCCCAUAAUGAGCUAUGGUUCGUUAGUCAAUUUAAUUUAUAAUUGAAUUGGAUGGAUGUAACUCUGUGUAAAAUUGUCUCUGAAGAAUCUGUUUUGUUCGUCUGUUCAACUUCUGACAGGGAUGGAAGAAAAUCUAAAUUAUUCCCUUCUGCAAGAGGGAAAAACUCCGAAAGUCUCAGCAUCCCUUGUGAAAUUAAGAGGAAAAAUAUUUUUAAUAGUUGCCAUGCAAAAAUAAUAUGGCUUUACUAAAAUUUAUACAACCCUGACAAUUAACACAUUAAUGCCUGGAAUGGUGGCUUAAAAAGAAAAUCAAAACACAGGC
rnacentral:lncRNA from 1 species